rnacentral:rRNA from 1 species
UACGAGGGGGGCAAGCGUUGUUCGGAAUUAUUGGGCGUAAAGGGUGCGUAGGCGGUUUGACAAGUCAUCUGUGAAAUCUAUGGGCUCAACCCAUAGUCUGCAGGCGAAACUGUCGGGCUUGAGUAUGGGAGAGGUGAGUGGAAUUUCCGGUGUAGCGGUGAAAUGCGUAGAUAUCGGAAGGAACACCUGUGGCGAAAGCGGCUCACUGGACCAUAACUGACGCUGAUGCACGAAAGCUAGGGGAGCAAACAGG